AGUGAACGCUGGCGGUAGGCCUAACACAUGCAAGUCGAACGGCAGCACAGUAAGAGCUUGCUCUUACGGUUGGCGAGUGGCGGACGGGUGAGGCAUACAUCGGAAUCUACUUUUUCGUGGGGGAUAACGUAGGGAAACUUACGCUAAUACCUCAUACGACCUACGGGUGAAAGCAGGGGAUCUUCGGACCUUGCGCGAUUGAAUGAGCCGAUGUCGGAUUAGCUAGUUGGCGGGGUAAAGGCCCACCAAGGCGACGAUCCGUAGCUUGUCUGAGAGGAUGAUCAGCCACACUGGAACUGAGACACGGUCCAGACUCCUACGGGAGGCAGCAGUGGGGAAUAUUGGACAAUGGGCGAAAGCCUGAUCCAGCCAUACCGCGUGGGUGAAGAAGGCCUUCGGGUUGUAAAGCCCUUUUGUUGGGAAAGAAAAGCAGCAGGUUAAAACACCGAUGUUCUGACGGUACCCAAAGAAUAAGCACCGGCUAACUUCGUG
rnacentral:rRNA from 1 species